rnacentral:rRNA from 1 species
AGAUUGAACGCUGGCGGCAUGCCUAACACAUGCAAGUCGAACGGGAGUAGCAAUACUCUAGUGGCGGACGGGUGAGGAAUACGUAGGAAUUUGCCCUUAAGUGGGGAUAACCCGGGGAACCCGGAUUAAUACCGCAUGACCUCGAAAGAGCAAAGUGGGGGAUCGCAAGACCUCACGCUUUUGGAGAAGCCUACGUCGGAUUAGCUAGUUGGUGAGGUAAUGGCUCACCAAGGCGACGAUCCGUAACUGGUCUGAGAGGAUGAUCAGUCACACCGGAACUGAGACACGGUCCGGACUCCUACGGGAGGCAGCAGUGGGAAUAGUUGGACGAAUCGGGCGCCGAAGCCUGGAUUCCGAGCCAAUGCCGCGUGUGUCGGAAGAAGGCCUUCGGGUUGUAAAGUCAGUUUAACGUUAGGAAGAAAAAC